UACGUAGGGUGCAAGCGUUAAUCGGAAUUACUGGGCGUAAAGCGUGCGCAGGCGGCUUUGUAUGUCGAUUGUGAAAGCCCCGGGCUCAACCUGGGAACUGCAGUCGAAACUGCAAGGCUAGAAUCUGGCAGAGGGGGGUAGAAUUCCACGUGUAGCAGUGAAAUGCGUAGAGAUGUGGAGGAACACCGAUGGCGAAGGCAGCCCCCUGGGUCAAGAUUGACGCUCAUGCACGAAAGCGUGGGGAGCAAACAGG
rnacentral:rRNA from 1 species